rnacentral:rRNA from 1 species
AAGAGAAAUUAAUUGGUGUUUUUGAAAAGAAUAGGGAUAUUGAUUUGGUAAUAUAAUUAAAUUUACUAAUAUACCGAUAGAUUAAUGUAUUGUGAAAGAUUUUUGAAAAAAUGAAAAAUAAUUUUUUAAGAAGUUAUAUGUUGUACCUUUUGUAUUAGGGAUUAACUAAAUUAAUUAAAUAUUUAUUUGUCCCGAAAAAUUUUGAGCUACUUAUACAUUUUUGUGUUGUUGCAGAAAUAUAAAUUAGUGUUGAGUAGAAAUGAAAUUUUAUUCGAAAAAUUGGAUAUCUGGUUAUUUUAGAAAAAUUAAAUAUUUUAAAUAAUUAGUACAUUUUAAUGAAGUUAUUUAUUUUCUUUUUAGGGAUAAGCUUUAAAAGCGAAUAUAAAGGUAUAAUGAGUAAUUGUUUAAGGUUUAGAAGUUACUAGGUUUUUGUAAUAAAAUAGCUAAAGAAUUUUUUUAUGUUUUAUUUGAAUUUUUUUUAAAUAAUUAAAAUUAAGUAAAUUUAUGUUAAUAUCAGUAUAAGUUUUGAUUUUUUUAAAAAUUGAUAAUGUCUUAAUAUAGUGAUUAAAUUUAUAGGAAUUAGGCAAUGGAGAUUUUUGAAUGUUUAUCAAAAACAUUGUAUUUUGAGAUAAUAAAAUAUAAAACCUGCUCAAUGAUGGUUAAAUUGCUGUGGUAUUUUGACUAUACGAAGGUAUUGAAAUAAGGCUUUAAUUGAGUGCUAAGAGAAUGGUUUAACAAAAAUUAACUUUCUUUAAAUUUAUAAUAGAAGUUGAUUUAAAAAUGAAAAAGUUUUUAUUUAUUUUUGGGACAAGAAGACCCUAUGAAUUUUUUUUAUAAUUUUAUUUAAACUUUUUAAAUUAGUAAAUGAAAUAUAGAUUAUAAGUUGAUUGGGGUGAUUUUUAAAGAAUAUUUAUCUUUAAAAGUUGAAUAAAUUAGAACCAAAAAUUUUGGUUGUUUGAUUAAAAUACUCUAGGGAUAACAGCGUAAUUAUUUUGGAUAGUUCAUAUAGAUAAAGUAGUUUGCGACCUCGAUGUUGGAUUAAGAUACUAAUAUAAUGAAGCAGUUAUAUAAAGAAGUUUGCUCAACUUUUAAAUUCUUACAUGAUCUGAGUUCAGACCGGCGUAAGCCAGGUUGGUUUCUAUCUAAAUAAUUAAAAGUAAUUUUUAUAGUACGAAAGGAAUUAAUUAUGUAAAUUAUUUAAUUAAUUAGGAUGUGAGUUAGAUUAAUGUAUCUA